rnacentral:rRNA from 1 species
CCUACGGGAGGCAGCAGUGGGGGAUAUUGCACAAUGGGGGAAACCCUGAUGCAGCGAAGCCGCGUGCGUGAAGAAGUAUUUCGGUAUGUAAAGCUCUAUCAGCAGGGAAGAAAAUGACAGUACUUGACCAAGAAGCCCCGGAUAAAUACGUGACAGCAGUCGCGGUACUACGUAGGGGGCAAGCGUUAUCCGGAUUUACUGGGUGUAAAGGGAGCGUAGACGGUUUUUUAAGGCUGGAGUGAAAGCCCGGGGCCCAACCCCGGGACUGCUUUGGAAACUGUGUAACUGGAGUACAGGAGGGGCAGGCGGAAUUCGUGGUGUAGCGGUGAAAUGCGUAGAUAUCAGGAGGAACCCCGGCGGCGAAGGCGGCCUGCUGGACUGAAACUGACGUUGAGGCUCGAAAGCGUGGGGAGCAAACAGGAUUAGAUACCCUUGUAGUC